UACGUAGGGUGCGAGCGUUGUCCGGAAUUAUUGGGCGUAAAGGGCUCGUAGGCGGUUUGUCGCGUCGGGAGUGAAAACACCGGGCUUAACUCGGUGCUUGCUUUCGAUACGGGCAGACUAGAGGUAUGCAGGGGAGAACGGAAUUCCUGGUGUAGCGGUGAAAUGCGCAGAUAUCAGGAGGAACACCGGUGGCGAAGGCGGGUCUCUGGGCAACAACUGACGCUGAGGAGCGAAAGCGUGGGGAGCGAACAGG
rnacentral:rRNA from 1 species